CCUGCUGAGAUUUUCCAGCACUUUCUCUUUUGGUUUCUGAUUCCAGCAUCCGCAGUUAUUUGCUUGUAAGCAGCAUUCAAAAGUCAGUUCGUCACGUCCGCUGCUGUCCUACGUGAUUCCGUCUUCCAUCCCAGCACCAUCAAAAGCGGCAAAGUUACCAAUGAAAAGCACGGGAAACAAUCUGGACCUCCAGCCAAUCAGAACGCCCUAUUUGUCUGAGCGCGAACGUGUAACCAUGACUUUGGAAAGCUGCUCCGUCCUACUCAGCAAGAGCUGGUGCUGCUGAUCUUUGAAUGAAGAUGGAGCUUAACUCGGACUGACACUUCCUCCUUUCUCCCACAUCUAAGGAUGGUGAGGAGAUUUACUGGGAAUACUCCAACCACAACAGAAUCAUACACACAAUCAUCAAUAUCAGCAAAAGUCAAGAGGACUAUCACUGACCUGUUUCUAACCAGCAAGCAGUCUCUUCUGAACAGCAAAUUAGUUGCCGAUUCAGUGAUCAAGUGAUAUAUAUAGUCAGAGUCUUCCCUGAUUGAGCCAUUCCAAGUAUCUCAGUCUCAAGUCAGGAGUGUGAUGGAAUGCUCCCUACUUGCCUGGAUGGUUGCAGCUCCAACAAUAUUCGAAAAGCUCAACAUCGAGAGAAAUAGCAGUCCCCACUUAAUUGGAACCACAUCCACAAGCAUCUACUCCCUCUGCUACCCAUGCUCAGUAGCAGCAUUACCAGAAUGUACUGUGAAAAUACACCAAAGAUCCUCAGGCAACACCUUCAAAACCCAUGACCACUUCCAUCUAGAAGGACAAGUGCAGCAGAUAUGUGGGAACACCCACCCUCUACAAGUUCCCCUUUUGGCCACUCAGUGUCCUGACUUGGAAAUAUAACACUGUUCCUCUGGUGUCAUUAGGUCAAAAUCCUGGAAUUCCCUCUCUCGGGGCAAUGCAUGUCUAUCUACAGCGCAUGGACUGCAGCAGAUCAAGAAAGCAGCUUCUCCCUACCUUCUCAAGUAGACAACU